rfam:Myotis lucifugus cont2.33236, whole genome shotgun sequence.
AUCGCUUCUCGGCCUUUUGGCUAAGAUCAAGUGUAGUAUCUGUUCUUAUCAGUUUAAAGUUGAAGGUAAAUCAGAAUAGUAGGAUAACAUCAGAUCUUACCAGUUCAGAAGAUCCUAUGGCAACUUUAAUAGCCAUGGGUUCUUUUGGGGUGAUCUACACACCUAACUGCAUUUGUUUUUACCCUUAUAAA